AUAACAAAAAGUGAAAAAAAUAUAUGUCGACGCAAGUCCAUGGUAAUUAACCUGGUGUAAUUGUUUUGAUUAUGAAAUCGAUUAUUGUGAUGAAUCAAUUGGUCUUUUUAGUUAUUAAUUAGUGUUAUGAUUUUUGGAAUACACUGACUAUAUUUUUGCGUUAGAAUAAAAACCUUAAAUUAAUCGAUGAAAUUAUUAUGAGUUUUGUUUGACAGUUGAAACAUUCGCCGCCAUUUGUAGACCGGAUGUUUCAACUGAGAUUAAGAUUUAAAAAUUAAUGAAAUUGUUCAUAAUUACUUUCGAAAUGUUUAAUUAAUUUAAGAAUUAUUUUUGUAAUUAAAAGUUAAUUAUUUAAAGAAGUUGCAAUUUAAAUAGUGCGUUGACGUUUUCCCGCCCGACGCCAUCUUUGGUUUUAAAUUCGAUUGGCGCGCGAAACUGCGAGAGACUGAAUAUAAAAUCACUUUUUGUUGGAGCGCCGGGCGGUUAAGACGUGGUGUAUUGCAGUCUUGUGAGUACCUUGCUAUUAUUUUAUUAUUGUAAUUGUGAUAAUUGUGAUUGUGAUUUUGAAUAUUAGGAAGUGUGAUUAUAAAACUAGAUUGCUCUCUGGUAUUGUGAAAUAAAUCGUUUAGUGUGUUUAUAGUUGUGUUUUAUUGUUUGCGAUGAGUGCGCCAAAUAAUGAAGGCAGUGACGUUAGCAAUGCUGACGUUACUGCUUUUAAAGAUUCCACUGGACCAAACCCCUCGUCAUCAGAAGUGGGAUCACCACCCACAUCUGCUCUUCCUUCUGUUUCAAACAAUGAACAUAGUGAUGCUUCUGUUGGCGGGGUCCCAGUGGAAUUUUUCGCGCAAAUGUUGCAAAUGAUGAAGCACAUGUCCGAUCGUAUAGCAACAAUACCGGACACAAAAGUUAAAAUCAAUGACGUGUUUUUGCCAUCAUAUGAUCCGGACGCAAAUAUAGGAGUGCGAGAGUGGUGUAAGCACGUGACCACGGCCAUGGAAACCUACAACCUUAGCGAUUAUGAUGUCAGGAUGAAAGUCGGUAGUUUACUCAAAGGUCGUGCAAGGUUGUGGGUUGACAACUGGCUUGUUUCAACCUCCACGUGGCAGGAAUUGCGUGAUGUUAUGAUAACAACUUUUGAACCUGAAAAUAGAUAUUCUCGUGAUAUAGUCCGUUUUCGAGAACAUACUUACGAUAAUUCAAAGGACAUCGCGCAGUUCUUAUCACAGGCUUGGAUGUUAUGGAGACGUGUCACUAGGGAUAAAUUAUCGGAUGAUGACGCGGUUGAGGCUGUGAUUGGUUGCGUUGGAGACGAGCGAUUGAGAAUCGAGUUGUUGAACGCCAGGGCUACUUCGGUCCCAGAGUUGAUUUCGGUAGCUUCCUCAAUAAAGCGCAGUAAGCGACCUUAUCCUAGUUCAUCAAAUAUACAGCAGGGCCCCGUCAAACGACAGCGAUUCUUGGAUAAGCCGUCUUUAUAUUGUCAACAUUGUAAAAAACCCGGUCAUGAUACUCGAGAUUGCCGUUACCGUGAUAAAACUGAUAACCCUCAACUGCGGCAUCAUGAUGAUAAAACGGUUCCUCAAAAGGAUAAUAAACCGACCUGUACGUUCUGCUCACGAAUAGGUCACACAUAUGAAACUUGCUAUAAACGUGAACGAACAAUCGUCUCGAAUAUUAAUUGCGUAGGUACACCAAAGUUAAAUCGCAUACCGGUGUUGAUUGGGGGUUUAAAAAUUUUCGCAAUUUUCGAUAGCGGGGCGGAAUGUUCGGUAAUACGCGAAUCGGUUGCUUCAAAAUUACCGGGUAAAAGGACGAACGUUGUUAAUUAUCUAAAGGGUUUAGGACAGUUUACAGUAGUGUCAUUAUCAACGUUGAUAACCGUUUGUGUAAUUGAUGAUAUAAGGGUCGAACUCCAUUUUCACAUAGUUCCGGAUUAUGAAGUGUGUUCAGAUAUUUUGAUAGGCAUGAAUCUUAUGCAAGAUACGAAUUUAAGUGUGAUAGUUAAUUCAAAAGGCGUGACAUUGAUUCAUCAGCCCGCGGUUUUCCACAUGCGAUUACAAAGCGAAAAGUUUGACAAUUUGGAUUGUGACUUGACAGACGGUGAUCAAAUCAACGAACUUAAAUUGUUAUUAGCUAAAUUUGAACAUCUUUUUAUCCGGGGUUACCCUCGCACACGCGUUAAUACCGGCGAGCUCGAAAUACGUCUAAAGGACCCAAACAAGUGUGUUGAACGUAGGCCAUAUAGAUUGAGUCCAAUAGAACGACAAAAGGUUCGUGAUAUUGUAAGUGAGUUACUUGAACACAAUAUUAUUCGAGAGAGCAAGUCACCUUUCUCCAGUCCGAUCAUAUUAGUCAAAAAGAAAAACGGCAAAGAUCGCAUGUGUGUGGACUACCGUGAGCUGAAUAGAAACACUCUGAGGGAUCACUAUCCUCUGCCUAUAAUUUCCGAUCAAAUAGACCAAUUAGCGGGGGGUUAUUACUUCUCUACGUUUGAUAUGGCAGCGGGGUUCCACCAGAUCCCCAUCUCUGAAGGGUCCAUUGAAAAGACUGCCUUCGUAACACCGGACGGCAUGUACGAGUACUUGGCCAUGCCAUUCGGUCUUAGUAAUGCAUGUUCCGUUUACCAGAGGUGCAUGAAUAGGGCUUUAGCUGACCUCCUAAAUUCACCUGACCAGGUAUGCCAAGUCUACGUCGAUGACGUACUUACAAAAUGUAGUGAAUUUGCAGAAGGAUUGUCCCGUAUCGAACGGAUACUUAUCGCGUUACAAAAUGCCGGGUUUUCUAUAAAUAUUGAAAAAACUGCCUUCUUUAAACGCUCUAUCGAGUACUUGGGCAAUAUUAUUACAAACGGACAGGUUAGUCCUAGCCCAAAGAAAGUGGAGGCUUUAACGAAGGCACCUAUUCCACGAACGGCUAAACAAGUUAGGCAAUUCAAUGGCCUCGCCGGAUACUUUCGUCGUUUCAUUCCCAAUUUCUCGCGUGUAAUGGUACCGCUUUAUGAGCUAACAAAGAAAGACGCAAAAUGGGAAUGGAACGAAAGACACGACGAGGCUAGAAAUAAAAUCAUACUGCAUUUGUCUACUGCGCCUACCCUUGCAUUAUUUCAGGAAAACGCACCAAUCGAGCUUUACACUGAUGCGAGCAGCCUCGGCUACGGCGCGGUACUCGUUCAGGUCAUCGGAGGUCGCCAGCAUCCAGUCGCGUACAUGAGCCAGCGUACCACUGAUGCAGAGAGCCGCUACCAUUCUUACGAACUCGAGACGCUAGCAGUGGUGAGAGCAGUAAAGCAUUUUCGGCAUUACCUGUACGGCCGAAAAUUCAAGGUAAUAACAGACUGUAACGCCUUGAAAGCGUCUAAGCAUAAGAAGGAUUUACUGCCACGAAUUCAUCGCUGGUGGGCUUUCCUGCAAAACUACGAGUUCGAGGUCGAAUAUAGAAAAGGUGAGCGACUGCAGCACGCAGACUUUUUCAGCAGAAACCCUACAAUUGAAAUGGCGAUCAACAUUAUGACCAAGGACACCGAGUGGCUGCAAAUUGAACAACGUCGUGACGACACCCUUCGUCCUGUAAUAAACAGCAUGACAACCGACAACCCAGCUCCCGGCUACGUUCUUGAGGAAGGCGUGCUGAAGAAAUUACUCGCGGAUCCUUCUAUACUCGGUACGUGCAAACCUACAGUAGUACCAAAAUCAUUCCAGUGGAGCUUGAUAAACUCCUUUCACACAUCUCUACAACAUCCGGGAUGGGAGAAAACUUUACAAAAACUCAGAGAUAGUUACUGGUUUCCUAAUAUGAGCACCAUUGUAAGAAGGUUUGUAGAUAACUGCGUUAUAUGCAGAACCUCGAAGGGAUCUUCAGGCGCAAUCCAGGCACAGCUCCACCCGAUACAAAAACCUACUGCAGCAUUUCAAGUAAUCCAUAUGGACAUUACCGGCAAACUUGGUACGAGAAACGCUGAAGGUCAGGACGAAUAUGUGAUCGUUAUUAUUGACUCCUUCACCAAAUACAUACUACUUAAUUACUCUAAUGACAAGAGUCAAAGCAGCAGUCUCGCAGCGCUGAAACGGGUCGUGCAUUUAUUCGGGACUCCAGUCCAGGUAGUGGUUGAUGGCGGUCGAGAAUUUCUUGGCGAAUUCAAAGCCUAUUGCGACUGUUUUGGUAUCAAUUUGCAUGCUAUAGCGCCAGGAGUAAGCCGAGCAAAUGGGCAAGUAGAACGAGUAAUGAGUACCUUGAAAAACGCACUAACAAUGAUAAGGAACUAUGACACUGAAAACUGGCAGACGGCCUUGGAUGCCCUUCAACUUGCAUUUAAUUGCACCCCACACAGAGUGACAGGAUGCGCGCCACUUACUCUCCUGACACGCCGUAAGCACACCGUUCCACCAGAACUUUUAAGGUUGGUAGACAUUGAUAACGAAUCCAUCGAUUUUGAUAUGCUCGAUCAACACGUGCAACGGAAAAUGGCGGCUGCAGCUGAAUAUGAUAAGCACCGUUUCGACAGAAACAAAGCUAAGCUGCGCCCUUUUCAAAGAGGAGACUACGUCCUCAUCAAAAAUAAUCCCAGAAAUCAAACCAGCUUGGACCUGAAAUACAGCGAGCCAUACGAGAUUUACAGAAUAUUGGACAACGACCGUUACAUGGUAAAACGUGUAACCGGCAGAGGGCGCCCACGCAAAGUGGCGCACGAUCAGCUACGCCGGGCUCCACAGCCUGGGGAACAAGAAACCGUGUCGACGGGUGCCAACGAUGACACCGAACAGCAAACCACAGCACAAAUAGUCGAUACACCGGAUCCACCAUCAACGUCACAAACCACACAGUUAUUGGACGCUUAAGUUAGUGUAAUAUUGAUUAGAAGUUUAGUGUAACAUUUUAAGAGUGUGCUUAGGUAGUUCAGUAUAAUUUAUUGUGGAUGUUAAAUUCUGUGCGACACGUAUCCUUUUCUCCUUGCCUAACUUGUCAUUUUCAGAGCCUCUGGGGACCACGGUCAGAAACAUAAGGCCCAGGCCCCAGCAUCGACCUACCCGGAUCCUUUAGGACCCCUGUGGACCACGGCGUACGAGACCGCUCAGCGCCACAGCAGCAAAUCCCUGUGAGCUUCAUCAAUAAACUAUGGGUAACAGAUUGCAUAACUUUCAGAGCUUCUGGGGACCACGGUCAUUGGAAAGACCUAGGCCCUAGCAUCGACCUUUCUUCAUCUCCUAGAGCCUCUGUGGACCACGGCGUACAUGACCGCUCAGCGCCACAGCACGCCUGUUCGAGAAAUAUAAUCAUGCAAGUAUGCGUUGGUCAUUUGCAUGUCAACAAAUCAGAAAUGUAAUCAAGUUACUAACUACUUUGCUCACAUUCCUUUAUAUUUCCUUUACUUUAUGAACUCUGUAAUCUGUUGUGUACCAAAAUCUGUUUUACAAGAACCGUGACUGGUGCUGAGCACGCACCGUCUCGCAGAAUGGCCGUGUCGACGCAAGUCCAUGGUAAUUAACCUGGUGUAAUUGUUUUGAUUAUGAAAUCGAUUAUUGUGAUGAAUCAAUUGGUCUUUUUAGUUAUUAAUUAGUGUUAUGAUUUUUGGAAUACACUGACUAUAUUUUUGCGUUAGAAUAAAAACCUUAAAUUAAUCGAUGAAAUUAUUAUGAGUUUUGUUUGACAGUUGAAACAUUCGCCGCCAUUUGUAGACCGGAUGUUUCAACUGAGAUUAAGAUUUAAAAAUUAAUGAAAUUGUUCAUAAUUACUUUCGAAAUGUUUAAUUAAUUUAAGAAUUAUUUUUGUAAUUAAAAGUUAAUUAUUUAAAGAAGUUGCAAUUUAAAUAGUGCGUUGACGUUUUCCCGCCCGACGCCAUCUUUGGUUUUAAAUUCGAUUGGCGCGCGAAACUGCGAGAGACUGAAUAUAAAAUCACUUUUUGUUGGAGCGCCGGGCGGUUAAGACGUGGUGUAUUGCAGUCUUAACUGGAAGGUCUGGACCGAGAGGAAGUAGUGAAGGACUUUCUGACAUCUCUGCGCAAAAUCAUAGACAAAAGCCCAGAGUGCAGGGGCAAGUGCGAGCUGAUCUAUUUUGAUGAUACGGACAGAAACUUAAACUUAGCG